rnacentral:rRNA from 1 species
GAUGAACGCUGGCGGCGUGCCUAAUACAUGCAAGUCGAGCGAACGGACGAGAAGCUUGCUUCUCUGAUGUUAGCGUCGGACGGGUGAGUAACACGUGGAUAACCUACCUAUAAGACUGGGAUAACUUCGGGAAACCGGAGCUAAUACCGGAUAAUAUUUUGAACCGCAUGGUUCAAAAGUGAAAGGCGGUCUUGCUGUCACUUAUAGAUGGAUCCGCGCUGCAUUAGCUAGUUGGUAAGGUAACGGCUUACCAAGGCAACGAUGCAUAGCCGACCUGAGAGGGUGAUCGGCCACACUGGAACUGAGACACGGUCCAGACUCCUACGGGAGGCAGCAGUAGGGAAUCUUCCGCAAUGGGCGAAAGCCUGACGGAGCAACGCCGCGUGAGUGAUGAAGGUCUUCGGAUCGUAAAACUCUGUUAUUAGGGAAGAACAUAUGUGUAAGUAACUGUGCACAUCUUGACGGUACCUAAUCAGAAAGCCACGGCUAACUACGUG